GUUCUUAUCUGGAUGGCAGGGCUGGUAACUUGUAUCCUGUGAGGCUUCUGGAAUAAAGCUUUAUGACGCCCAAGUGUUGAAGCUCCUGCUGGCACACCUAGGCAUCCCCUCCUGGCCUUAUUCACAGCUCCUUUAGUCAAAGCCUGUGCCAGCCAGGCUCCUUCUCUGGGGCAGGUGCGAACUGCUUGGGCAUCCUUCCGGGAAGGGAGCUCCCAGCUCCCGGCAGGAGCAGAGCGGCGUCUCUGUCACGCCGCUGUUUGCAGACUCCCCGGUGCUCUCAGCCUCUUCACUCCAGAACUGCACUCCUCGGAACUGCGACCCCCCAUCGACCAUCUCCUGGGCACAGUCACUGCCUCUGUCAGCACCCUGGUGACAGACUCCUUGGCUAGCAAGUGAGGAGGAAUGCACAGAAGGCCCAGAACGGCAGAGCUGAAAGUGAACACCUGUAUCUGGAUGCAGCUGCGUUCCUGCAUACCUCCACUGUGGGCAGGACAGUGGCCAUGGCGGCGGCAGCGGGGACUACUAACCGGUUACUCAUGUCAGCUCUUUUUCAUAGGAGGUGGAACCUCGAUGGAGGUGGAGCCUCGUUGGAGGUGAAGCCUCAUGAAGGAGGUGGAGCCUCCACAAUAGGCCUUGAGUGAAGAAGGCCCUUGGCAAUAUGAUCCUGGCUCCCUUGGCUGGAUCCUGUGUCCCCCCAGGACUUCACUCUGUGACACACCUCCUACUUCCGGACCCCACCUACUCUCCAGAACACGGAAGGUCAGAAGGUCCAUCUUUUUGCAGGCAGAGACUGCCUGAGCUCGCUAAGAAACCUGACCCACACUCUCUCCUUAGAGAAGGAAACCGAAGCUCCACGACGUCCCCAAGUAACUUCCCCAAGGCCACCCAGCAAACGAGCCGUAGAAUUGCCUUUUAUCUUGGAAUCAAGAGCUUCCGGAAGUUUCCGGCUCUCCGGAACUUCUUCCUUCUGGUCCCGGUCCUUCUACUCGCAGCCCAACCAGGUGCAUAUUAGCAUAAAACAUCCCUAGGUGGGACUCUUUCCGCCCUGGCGGCUCCCACGCCCGCGCCUGCUGCCGGGCUCUGGCCUCUGCCUGGGCGCCGGCUCCUUGCCCAUGUAGGGUUCGAGCACCUGCCGGGAAGCGCGGGAAGCGCUCGCCCGGGUAUGGCGCACCCUCCCGGGCUGGGCCCGCUGCCCGGCGCUCGCAGCGCUCCCGAGUAUGGAGCGGCUUGAUUGACCUUGGCAAGAGGCAGCCAAUCUCCCAGAGGCUUGCCCUCCCCACCCCCUCUCGGCGCUGGCGCCAGAGCUCUGGUUUCUUCCGCCACUACCUCUCGCGUGCGUCCAGACAGGACUUUGGGGAGGGGUCUUGGGAGGAGCUAAAUCCGACCCCCCAUUGCGUCCUAGCCAGCCCGAGAUGAGCUAGUGUGAGCGUCUUCUUGCAAAUUAAGUCGUCUCGGUACUCUCCUUCCGGAGGGCACUGGGGCAGCAGCCGAUGUCUCGGCGGACCCGCUAUUUCCUGAAACAAUCCAAGCUAGCUCAGGGUCAAGAGGGGGUGACAAUUGUGUCCCCCACUAACUUGAAUCUAGCUAGCUUCCAAAGGUUUCCAAGAAACCCCUCCCUUCUGUCCCAUCAGCACAAACAGCCAGAGAACGGAUCCAGUUCAGUGGUGCCAUUUCUUCAGAGACGUCGGUGGUCCUUAGACAACGCCGUCUCUCUCUUUUCCCACGUGUGAAUCUGGGCAACAGUAUUGUCUUGUUUGUUUGGCUGGCUGGUUUUCCUGAAGAUCCACUAAGCAUCCUCAAAGCACAACGCGGGGCCUUCGCAUCCUCAUCCAAAGGGCUUGGAGAACUCUGGGACAGUUCCCACCGCUUAACAACGUUGCCUGUGUCUGUCGUUUUCUGUGAAAAGAAUUUGAAGCCCUCGUCCUUUGAUAGAAGGGGGAUGAGAGAAUGUAAUAUGCUUUAAAGACCGAGAUGAAGAAUUUUGGACAAUAACUGUAUUCUGGGGAAGGGGUGGGGGAAUCCUAAACUCCCAGAUUUUCUCAGGAAACAAAACUCAAAUGAAAGACCGGUUCCCAAUGACUGCUGUUUUACGAGCAAUGUGGUUUGUUGUUGCUUAAUUACGAUCAGACCCAUUUUAUAGAGGGAACUGAGGCCUGUAAAGUAACGCUCCAAGAUUACAGACUUCUAGAAACAAUGGCGUUAGUGACAAAAUCCACUCGUUGGCAUCCUAUGUUCUCUGCUUUCCUUCCGUCCACUGAGCUGCCGUCGGGCGUGCCUAUUUUGUGCGCGUUGCCUGCCCUUUCUGUGCUUUCUCCUGUGCUUUAUCGCUUUCUCCUUGGUACUGGUGAUU
rnacentral:lncRNA from 1 species